rnacentral:rRNA from 1 species
AGUGAACGCUGGCGGUAGGCCUAACACAUGCAAGUCGAACGGCAGCACAGUAAGCGCUUGCUCUUACGGGUGGCGAGUGGCGGACGGGUGAGGAAUACAUCGGAAUCUACUUUUUCGUGGGGGAUAACGUAGGGAAACUUAUGCUACUACCGAAUACGACCUACGGGUGAAAGCAGGGGAUCUUCGUACCUUUCGCGAUUGAAUGAGCCGAUGUCGGAUUAGCUAGUUGGCGGGGUAAAGGCCCACCAAGGCGACGAUCCGUAGCUGGUCUGAGAGGAUGAUCAGCCACACUGGAACUGAGACACGGUCCAGACUCCUACGGGAGGCAGCAGUGGGGAAUAUUGGACAAUGGGCGAAAGCCUGAUGCAGCCAUACCGCGUGGGUGAAGAAGGCCUUCGGGUUGUAAAGCCCUUUUGUUGGGAAAGAAAAGCAGCAGGUUAAUACGCCGCUGUUCUGACGGUACCCAAAGAAUAAGCAACGGCUAACUUCGUG